AUUGAACGCUGGCGGCAGUCCUAACACAUGCAAGUCGAACGGUAACAGGAAGAAGCUUGCUUCUUUGCUGACGAGUGGCGGACGGGUGAGUAAUGUCUGGGAAACUGCCUGAUGGAGGGGGAUAACUACUGGAAACGGUAGCUAAUACCGCAUAACGUCGCAAGACCAAAGAGGGGGACCUUCGGGCCUCUUGCCAUCGGAUGUGCCCAGAUGGGAUUAGCUAGUAGGUGGGGUAACGGCUCACCUAGGCGACGAUCCCUAGCUGGUCUGAGAGGAUGACCAGCCACACUGGAACUGAGACACGGUCCAGACUCCUACGGGAGGCAGCAGUGGGGAAUAUUGCACAAUGGGCGCAAGCCUGAUGCAGCCAUGCCGCGUGUAUGAAGAAGGCCUUCGGGUUGUAAAGUACUUUCAGCGGGGAGGAAGGGAGUAAAGUUAAUACCUUUGCUCAUUGACGUUACCCGCAGAAGAAGCACCGGCUAACUCCGUG
rnacentral:rRNA from 1 species